rnacentral:rRNA from 1 species
UACGAAGGGGGCUAGCGUUGCUCGGAAUCACUGGGCGUAAAGCGCACGUAGGCGGAUUGUUAAGUCAGGGGUGAAAUCCUGGAGCUCAACUCCAGAACUGCCUUUGAUACUGGCGAUCUCGAGUCCGGGAGAGGUGAGUGGAACUCCGAGUGUAGAGGUGAAAUUCGUAGAUAUUCGGAAGAACACCAGUGGCGAAGGCGGCUCACUGGCCCGGUACUUGACGCUGAGGUGCGAAAGCGUGGGGAGCAAACAGG